rnacentral:rRNA from 1 species
CAGCCGCCGCGGUAAUACGAAGGGUGCAAGCGUUAAUCGGAAUUACUGGGCGUAAAGCGUGCGUAGGCGGUUUGUUAAGUCUGCUGUGAAAUCCCCGGGCUCAACCUGGGAAUGGCAGUGGAUACUGGGUCACUAGAGUGUGGUAGAGGAUAGUGGAAUUUCCGGUGUAGCAGUGAAAUGCGUAGAGAUCGGAAGGAACAUCUGUGGCGAAGGCGACUAUCUGGGCCAACACUGACACUGAGGCACGAAAGCGUGGGGAGCAAACAGGAUUAGAUACCCCUGUAGUCCCUGUCUCUUAUAC